rnacentral:lncRNA from 1 species
CAGAAUGGUGCAACUUCCCCUCUUGUCUGGCCGCAGGCUUUCCCCACUGACCAGAGCUGUUGGAAAAGAGCCUUGGGUUUUGUGCUUAUUGAUAUAACCCAUCUCCAGGUAGUCUGCUGAUUCCUGAACUGUUGUCACAGACACCAAGAUUCAAGAGGGAUGAACUGAGAAUAAGUCUGAGCCCGCCCCAACCUACUUUUCUCAUAGUUUCUUUAUCAAAUAAGUAAAUGUAUUCCUUUAAUUUGAUAGCACAAUCACUUUAGUUACUGAUGAAUUUUGUUGGGAUCUUACCUGAGAAAAGGGUUGUCAGAGCUUAGAUGAGUUUUAAAAAGUAAUAAUUAGAUGUAUAUGCUAUAAACUCUCUCUUUUCUUGACCCCUUUUACUUUUCACUAACCACAUUCCUGUGCAACUCAUUUCUGAAAACUCAUCAUAUUUCUGUAAGAACCAUCUAAAAACUGUUUGUCCCUAAACUGUAAUUCUCUGUGGUACUGAGAAACUAUGUAUAGCUAGCUACAAUAAAAAUCCAUUUUGUGAAAAGAUACAAGUGAUUUGUUUUUGUUUCUUUGCAGUUAAUUAUUUAUGGGAAUUCAUGAGAUGAGGCAUGAGCUGGCUUUACACCAAACAUAAAGAAGGCAUCACCUCUACUCAAAGGAUAGUUAAAAUCCCAAUUCAAGUGCCAUGAGGUUCACCCGGUAGAGAGAAGUCACCCUGAAGAACAGGCCAGGGGAAGAGUAUGGCUUAUGCAAAGAGCCGCUCCAUCCGCCCCUGCCAUCGCUCUCCUCCGGUCGGCCGGGCUGUCUUUUCUGGCUCCACCUCCCGCUCCGGCCGUCGGUGCGAGUCUGGGUCUCUCUGCCCCUCCGGACGCCGUUCUCCGGCGGGGUUUAGGUCUGUCUUCUUCACCCUCAGUGAGUCAGAAACAAAGGAGGGGGGGUGGGGGGAGCGCACUCUCUCCGGCUCGGCGAUUCGCCCUUUAUUCUGAACUCGCAACGUCAGCGGGCGGGUGGAUGGAGCUGCCGGGCGCGGGCUGGGCCGCCCACAGCGCGCCGGGCCGGGGGAGCGGCCGGGCCGGACCGGGCGGGCGGG